UUUCCGUAGGUGAACCUGCGGAGGGAUCAUUACUGAGUGAGGGUCUCCGGGCCCGACCUCCAACCCCAUGUGAACCGAAACCUGUUGCUUCGGGGGCGACCCUGCCUUUCGGCGCGGCGCCCCCGGUGGACAUAUCAACUCUGCAUCAUGACGUCUGAGUUUAUACAAAAAUAAAUCAAAACUUUCAACAACGGAUCUCUUGGUUCUGGCAUCGAUGAAGAACGCAGC
rnacentral:misc_RNA from 1 species